rnacentral:lncRNA from 1 species
UCGAAUUUACAAGAAGAACAACACGCAUAGGCCGAUGGAUCUGGAGGACUCCAUGGACGGCACGAUGGGAUCGUCGUUUCCCCUGUCGAAGCUGCACCACCUUCCCCCGAAAUCGACGACAUCAACCUACGGCCAAUUCAUGGACAACGACCAUAAUUUCUACGACGGGAUGGUAAGCAGCGAAGGGAUCAAUACUAGUGCUUCUUUUCUUCCAAACUCGGCUUUGGCCAACAGCUCUCUCCCUCUAAAACGGGAACUCCCGAAUCUGUACUGGAAUCAUGAUCCGGAGGACGAAGCAGGGCCUUCAAGGAGACUACACAUGGACAGCAGUGAUCAGAGCACUGGAAAUGGUUCUAUUGCCAUUCUGCUUUCUCAGCUCCCUCAGACACCUCCUCCAUUGCACCAGCAGCCAAUGCUGGGGACGUCACAGCUCGGUGGCGACGCUCUGUUUCGUAGUACACAGUAUCAACUUCCGGGGAAUUGGUAUUCUUAGUCCAAUUUCGUAUUAGCGGCUUGGCACAUAUAUUCCAUAUGAUGAUGUUAAUUGUAAGCACACUCUUGUUGCUCAACAUAUAGUUGUAU